AAAUGGGGCGCGCGCGGAGGUGGUGCUGAGGAGAGACCAGGAGAGGGCGGACCCGUGCGAAGUGUGUGUGAACAUCCCGAGAUCGGUCGCCAGUCGCAUGGAUCGAGCGCGCGGCUCUUGUGAUGCACUGUAGCGGAGACCGACCGGAGAGAGACGGAGGAAAGAACAGCCCAAUACCCCCGAUUUAACGUCUGGUACUGUGUCAGAAGUCUCGCCUUAAUCGGCACCGUGUUUAUUCAUUCUACUCGUUUUUUAAGUUUUUUUUUUUACCGAACCUGGAUUUAAACAUUACCGGAGUUUAUUGUCGGAUUAUUAAGCAUUGGAUAUUAUCCCAUAACUAAGUGAUGGAACUGAGGAGAUCCAGAGGCUUCCCUGUGAACUACAAAUUCCAGCAGGCAACAUGAAGAAGGACGUCCCGAUCACCCUGACAACCAGAAGAGCAAGUCCAAUCGGACCUUACGCCAUGAUUACCCAUAGCAAUCUCUUUGGACUUUAAAGGAUUACAAAGGUCAAACUUUCCUUCCCAACAGAAGGAGAAACUAGUUUAGACUCUUCUCCCCUUUUCCUCUCUCUCCCUCCUCCUUUCUUUAACUAGGAGGAAAGGCAUCUGCAAUUCUACCUACUGUCCAUAGCUUGUCAGCGAUUGGAUAGUUUACUCAUGUGCAUGGCCUACGACUGUUACUUAGCCUACCUACGACUGUUAUCCCAACUACCACCCAACUGCCUGCUGAUUUUGUAUUAAAUCUCUCAGCAGUGUCAAACAUAUCUGAGUACACUUUUGGAUACAACUGUGGAUACUCCCUCUAGAAUUGGAUACUUACUGUAAGACUUUUAAAUCAAAUCCAAUGCCAUCUAAGCUUUCAGGAAUAUAAACUCAUUCGUCCUCUUCCUCCUCCUUGUUGACCAUGGAUGUGCUGGGCUUGUCUGCGAGGCUGCAGCUGCUGCUCUCGGCCUUCCUAGGUGUGUGUCUGAGCCUGGAGUUCACAGGGGCCCCCGGCCAGUGGGCCCGCUACCUCCGCUGGGACGCCAGCACGCGUAGCGACCUCAGCUUCCAGUUCAAGACAGACGUGUCCACGGCACUGCUGCUCUACUUCGACGACAGUGGCUACUGCGACUUCCUGCAGCUGAUGGUCGUGGAGGGCAAGUUGCAGCUGCGCUUCAGCAUUGACUGCGCCGAGACCGCCGUGGUGUCCGACAAGCGGGUCAACGACAGCAGCUGGCACUUUGCCACACUGAGCCGCUACGGCCUGCGGACGGUGCUGGGGCUGGACGGCCAGGUCAAGGCAGACGAGGUGCGGCCCACCGGAGGUAGCCGCCAGCACAUGAAAAUUGUUAGCGAUCUGUUCCUGGGUGGCGUGCCGCUGGACAUCCGUACGUCAGCGCUCACGCUGCCCACGGCACGUGAUGCCCCACCCUUCAGAGGAACAAUCUCAGAUCUGAAGUACGGGAACACAGAACCGGUUCUCCUCAGCAGCUUGAGGGUUCGUCUGGAGUCGGAGGGGCGCUGUACCGAGAACCCGUGCGAGAACAGUGGGAGCUGCACCGUGGUGGAUGGGGAACCCAUGUGCGACUGCUCCAAAACAGAAUACAAGGGCCGCUUCUGCAAUGAAGAGGUCAACAAUAAUAUUCCGGGAUUUUCACAUAUGAUGAUGGCGGAGCAAGCUAAAAGCAAAGCACGGGAGGAGAACGUGGCCACGUUCCGCGGCUCCGAGUACUUCUGCUACGACCUGUCCCAGAACCCCAUCCAGAGCAGCAGCGACGAGAUCACGCUCUCCUUCAAGACGUGGCAGCGCAACGGCCUGAUCCUCCACACGGGGAAGUCGGCCGACUACGUCAACCUGGCCCUGAAGGACGGGGCGGUGAGCCUGGUCAUCAACCUGGGGUCAGGGGCCUUCGAGGCCAUCGUGGAGCCCGUCAACGGGAAGUUCAACGACAACACCUGGCACGACGUCAAGGUCACGCGCAACCUGAGACAGGUGACAAUAUCAGUUGACGGUAUCCUGACGACCACGGGGUAUACCCAGGAGGACUACACCAUGCUGGGAUCCGAUGACUUCUUCUACGUGGGUGGAAGCCCCAGCACCGCUGACCUGCCUGGGUCUCCUGUCAGCAACAACUUCAUGGGCUGCCUCAAAGAGGUGGUCUACAAGAACAACGAUAUCCGUCUGGAGCUCUCCCGUCUGGCCCGCAUCGUAGACCCUAAGAUGAAGAUCCAGGGGGACGUGGUCUUCAAGUGUGAGAACGUGGCCACCCUGGACCCUAUCUCCUUCGAGACCCCCGAGGCCUACAUCAGCCUGCCCAAGUGGAACACCAAGAGAAUGGGCUCCAUCUCCUUUGACUUCAGGACCUCGGAACCCAACGGACUCAUCCUGUUCACCCACGGCAAGCCCCAGGAACGCAAGGAGGCCCAACGCAGCCAGAAGAACACCAAGGUCGACUUCUUUGCGGUGGAGCUCCUGGAUGGCAGUCUAUACCUACUGUUAGACAUGGGCUCUGGGACCAUCAAGGUCAAAGCCACCCAGAACAAGGUCAACGACGGGGCCUGGUAUCACGUGGACAUACAGAGGGAUGGGCGUUCAGGCACCAUCUCAGUCAACAGCCGGCGCACCCCGUUCACAGCCAGCGGUGAGAGUGAGAUCCUUGACCUGGAAGGAGACAUGUACCUGGGGGGUCUACCCUCGGACCGUGCCAACCUCAUUCUGCCCACCGAGCUGUGGACCGCCAUGCUCAACUAUGGCUACGUGGGCUGCGUGCGCGACCUCUUCAUCGACGGGCGCAGUAAGGACAUCCGACAGAUCGCUGAGGCUCAGAACGGCGCAGGCAUCAAGCCGUCGUGCAACAAGGUGGUGGGGAAACAGUGCGAGAGCUACCCGUGUAAGAACAGAGGCGUCUGUAAGGAGGGAUGGAACCGGUUUAUAUGUGAUUGUACCGGCACGGGGUACUGGUCACGCACCUGCGAGAGAGAGGCAUCCAUCUUGAGUUAUGACGGCAGUAUGUACAUGAAGGUGGUGAUGCCCCAGGUGAUGCACACAGAGGCUGAGGACGUGUCUCUACGUUUCAUGUCCCAGCGGGCCUACGGCCUGCUCAUGGCCACCACCUCACGGGACUCGGCCGACACGCUGCGUCUAGAGCUGGACGGGGGCCGGGUCAAGCUCACGGUCAACCUAGACUGUAUCAGGAUAAACUGUACUUCCAGCAAGGGACCCGAGACCCUGUAUGCUGGGCAAAAACUCAAUGAUAAUGAGUGGCAUACGGUGCGCGUGGUCCGCCGGGGAAAAACCUACAAGCUCACGGUGGACGAUGACGUAGCAGAAGGCCAGAUGGCGGGUGACCACACCCGUCUUGAGUUCCACAACAUCGAGACGGGCAUCAUGACGGAGAGACGCUUCGUCUCGGCCAUCCCCUCUAGCUUCAUCGGACACCUGCAGAGCCUCAGGUUCAACGGGAUGCUGUACAUUGAUCUCUGUAAGAACGGAGACAUCGACUUCUGCGAGCUAAACGCCCGGUUUGGCAUGCGCUCCAUCAUCGCUGACCCUGUGACCUUCAAGUCCAAGAGCAGCUACCUGAGCCUGGCCACCCUGCAGGCCUACACCUCUAUGCACCUGUUCUUCCAGUUCAAAACCACCUCCCCAGACGGCUUCAUAAUGUUCAACAGUGGAGACGGAAACGACUUCAUCGCUGUGGAGCUAGUCAAAGGGUACAUCCACUACGUGUUUGACCUUGGCAAUGGGCCUAACGUCAUCAAGGGUAACAGCGACCGGGCUCUCCAUGACAACCAGUGGCACAACGUGGUCAUCACCCGUGACAACAGCAACAUCCACACGCUGAAGGUGGACGCCAAGGCAACCAGCCAGGUGGUCAAUGGAGCCAAAAACCUCGACCUGAAAGGUGACCUGUUUAUUGCUGGACUGGGCCCUGGUAUGUACGGUAGCCUGCCCAAGCUGGUGGCGUCCCGGGAUGGCUUCCAAGGCUGCCUGGCCUCUGUGGACCUCAACGGCCGCCUCCCUGACCUCCUCCAGGACGCGCUGUUCCGCAGCGGGCAGAUCGAGCGAGGAUGCGAAGUUGGUUUCACCAAAGCUGACCUACAAGGUCCUAGCACCACCUGCCAAGAGGACUCAUGUGCCAACAUGGGCGUCUGUAUCCAGCAGUGGGAGAACUACACCUGCGACUGCUCCAUGACCUCCUACACCGGCACUCAGUGCAAUGAUCCUGGGAUGACUUAUAUCUUUGGGAAAGGAGGAGGCCUCAUUACGUUCAACUGGCCAGCCAACGAGAGGCCAAGCACGCGCACAGACAGACUGACCAUAGGGUUCAGUACUUCCCUAAAGGAUGGCAUCUUGGUCCGGAUAGACAGUGCUCCGGGUCUGGGAGACUAUCUCAUGCUACACAUCGAACAAGGGAAGAUCGGUGUGACGUUUAACAUCGGCACAAUGGACAUCAGUGUGAGAGAGAGCAGCACCCCUGUGAAUGACGGGAAGUACCAUGUGGUGCGGUUCACCAGGAAUGGGGGCAACGCCACCCUCCAGGUGGACAACUGGUCCAUCAACGAACACUUUCCAGGAGCGACAACCGAUAAUGAACGCCUUGAAAUUGCCACUAAGAAAUUCCCAUUGAAAUACGCCCGGCCAGUAGUGGACUGGCUACAAGAGAAAGGUCGGCAGCUAACAAUAUUCAACACCCAGGCCACAGUCACCAUCGGUGGCAGCGACCGCAGUCGGCCCUUCCAGGGUCAGCUGUCCGGCCUCUACUACAACGGCCUCAAGGUCCUCAACAUGGCUGCCGAGGGCAACCCCAACAUCAAGAUCAAUGGCAGUGUCCGAUUGGUAGGCGACGUGCCCUCUGUGGCCGGGUCGGCUCGCACCACCGCCCAGCCCCCCGAGAUGUCCACCACCUUUAUUGAGACCACCACCACCAUGUCCACCACCACCACCCGCAAGCACCGCUCCUCUCCCACCAUACAGCAGACAACGGAUGACAUCGUGUCGUCGGCAGAGUGUUCGAGUGAUGACGAGGACCUGGAGGAGUGCGACUCUGGCCAUGCAGCCAAAAGCUCUAAUGCCGCCCGACCGCUUCGUACUGCCUUUACAUGGACAUGGCAACUGACUUACACUAUCACCCUCAUCAUCCUCAUCUCCUCUGUAGUAUGUUCAUAGGCCCCUCCCCCUUGUCACUCCCCUCCCCUCCCCCUCUUUAGCGAUGUUAAAAUAUGGACAGUCAUCCAUCCAUUCUAAACUAAAGAACAAAUACAAACUAAGCAAAAACUUAAAAUGAAUAGAAUGUAGAUAUUUAUUGAGAAGUCUAUUAAAGCAAAAACUUAUAGAUGUACAGUUUUUUGUAAAAACUGGAUUAUUUAUCGAAGAUUUUAAAAAAGAAGAAAAAAAAGAAUUAUGGUGAAGUUUAUUUUUCAUGUUAUGUGGUGUGGAUGUAUGUGUUGUUGCCUCCCUGUACCAUCAUGUCUAAAGAUAAAUUAUUAAACAAGAAGUCCAAUUGCUAAAUGAUUUUUUAAUCUAUACAAAACUAUACUCAGCCAAGAACAUUCUUACACAACUUUCUUUUGUAAACUUUUUUUCUUCAUGCCAAAAUCAUGCGGGCAAUUUGUUGAUGAGGUGAAUUAGUGAUCCCAGUACUCUUAGAGGAACCGUUAGUGCUGCCCCCUGUAGCUACUCGUGCACCCUCCAUCCCCCUUCCCCCAACCCUCCGCCCACCCCUCACCAUUAUUGAGACCACCAAAGAGUCCCUGUCCACGGCCACUGAGGCGGGGGUACCUUGCUUGUCGGAUCGAGGCAGCGAUGAUUGUGAUGAUGAUGAUGAUGAUGGCUUGGUGAUAUCGGGGUAUGGCUCAGGGGAAGCGUUCAACUCUAACCUGCCCCCUACUGAUGAUGAAGAUUUUUACACCACCUUCUCCUUGGUAACAGAUAAGACCUUGUCCACGUCGGCCUUUGAAGGUGGCUACAAAGUUCAUGUGCCCAAGUGGGAAACCAAGGACUUUAGCUCUAACAAACCGUCCUCAGAACGCGGUAGGACUACCACUACCGCUGCGCUGCCGCUAGCCCCCGACCAGAGCCGCUACACCUCCACCGCAACCCUGCACCACACGCCACCCGCCAAGCUGCCUGCCGGCAAAAUGAAUAACCGCGAGCUAAAACCCCAGCCUGACGUAGUGUUGCUCCCGUUGCCCACACUACCCUAUGAGGUAGACAGCACCAAGCAGAGGGCUCCUGUAAUAACCUCCCCCAUGUUCCGUAAUGUACCCACAGCCCUGCCCACCCAGCCCGGCGUCAACCGAGUCCCGGGACCCCCGGAAGUGUCCCGCCAGUCUAGCAGCACCACCGGGAUGGUCGUCGGGAUAGUGGCGGCCGCCGCCCUGUGCAUCCUCAUCCUCCUGUACGCCAUGUAUAAGUACAGGAACAGGGACGAGGGCUCCUACCAGGUGGAUGAGAGCAGGAAUUACAUCACCAACUCGGCCACGCAGAGCAAUGGAGCCGUCAUGAAGGACAAACAGCAGAGCGCAAAAGGCAGCAAAGUAAAACAGAAAAACAAGGACAAGGAGUAUUACGUGUGAGUGACGGACGUUGCGAGAUAAAAAAACGAGAGAGAAAGCGAGAAAGGGAAAGAAAUAUAUAGAACUUUAUUUAACAGUUUACCUUCAAAGGAGCUGCGACGACGAAAGAUGGUAAAAAUGGAACUGUUACUUCAUGCUGUGCAGAGUGGUUGAACUAUGACAUGUUCUGUAAUAUAAAGCACACUUACUAUUGUAAGCAUACCGAGAAGGCUAAUAGCAACUUUAGUGACCUUACUCUUCUAUCUGGUCGGAGACGUAAUCAGUGUAGAACUACUUCACGGCUACUGCAUCAUUAUCCUUAAGUGACUUUUAGAGCUAUGUGAUCCUUAACGUAAAUUCUAGUUUUUUUUUUUUGUAAACCUGUACAAAAUGAAGAUAUUCAUAUAUCUUGACCAUUUCCAGCAUGUAAGCGACAUGUAGUGCUUAACAAGAGUGAGUGGGUCAGGAUAAAAAUGAUCAUUGUAAAGUCAAUGAAAAAAAUUGACUCCUGUCGUAAAAAGAUAUGACUAAUUUGUAUUGUUUAUACAUUAUAAACGUGUGGUGUCUUAAAACGUUUAAAAAAAACAAGUACUACUUUAUGUAUCAAAUGAAACCAAGUGAGCUCAAAUGGCUAAGGAUAGAUCUCUUAGGAUCUCUUCAGAUCUCAUAAUUCUGUCAUCUGAUCUCGACCUGAUUACUCUCAUUGUGUGACGGACGGACAGAGUGACUCUGACGUAAUCGUGGCGAGAAGUGGUUGGUUUUUCUUGUCUCGGUAAAAAGCAACUGAUUGUAAUGCAUGCCCAUCCUACUGCGACAGCCAAGUACAGUACAGUACAAUAUACAGUGUUCAACUUUGCUUGAGCAGUCCAGUUCUCACCAAGGCCAAACGUUAUACUACUUCAUCAUCAGGACUACACAACUCUUUUAAUUUUGUUCCCUAAAAACCUAAAGAAAGAAAAUGUGAUUAUCCCUGACGACAAAAAGGACUAAUAUUGGUUUGCAGCCAGUGCUGGUUGUAUCUUUUGCAGGCCUCUGUGUGUUGGUUCAUCGCCUCUUGUUCUAUUUUCUAUGGAGCUGUCCCAUUGAGGACAGAAUGCAGUACUAUAACACUGUUAAAGAUGUCUAUACAGAAAUAAAUCUAACGUGAAAAGUGUGAA